CUUGGUUUGCGGCGGUUGACAUAGUGGCUUCGUAAAAGUAAACCUAGCUUGUGCAGGGCUUUGAUGCACAUGCGAAACCCAAAUGAAGCUAAGGGGCGCGUUGGUAGUUUUCGACCGGCAAGCCCUCGAAAACCGAAAUGAAAACUAAGCAUGUAGAAAGCAGUAUGAUUGCUUGUUUGGACGAGGGUUCGAAUCCCUCCGGCUCCACUA
rnacentral:tmRNA from 1 species